rnacentral:rRNA from 1 species
UACGAACCGGGCGAACGUUAUUCGGAAUCACUGGGCUUAAAGGGCGCGUAGGCGGGCUGUCAAGUCUGGGGUGAAAUCCCACGGCUCAACCGUGGAACUGCCUUAGAUACUGACGGCCUCGAGGAAGGUAGGGGCAUGCGGAACUGUAGGUGGAGCGGUGAAAUGCGUUGAUAUCUACAGGAACUCCGGUGGCGAAAGCGGCGUGCUGGACCUUUUCUGACGCUGAGGCGCGAAAGCUAGGGGAGCAAACGGG